UAAACCAUUAAAUAAAUGAUGACGAAGCCCGAAUUCAUACUUUCUAACAAAUCAAUGCUAUAAAUACGUGUCUGCAAGGUAUCAUAAGCUGUUUAUAGUGCACUGGUACACAAUUUUUGACAUAGAAAAUUAAUUUUUUCUUGAGCAAAAUUUGUGUUGGUCCCGGACAACCUUUACCUUUACUCUUCACCCGCUUUUAUUAUCUAUAUGCUGGUCAGCAGUUAUUAUAGCAUUUUUCUAAAGAACACCAAAAUUUUUCAAUAAGUUCUGUGAUUUCUUGUGCCUUGUGUGUAAGCUUUCCCUUCUUCCUCUUCACAUCUCAGUUCCCCCACCCCUACUGUACCUGCACCGUGGAUCCUAAUACCUGUCGACUGUCAGGUCAGGCGCGGCAGCGCGGCCCUUAACUCUCCCGCGGCCUGGCCUGGUUCAUCUUUUGUUCUUGUGGUUUCCCAAGGUUUUCGUGACACGUGACCACUGCCCGUCGUGACGAUUCAAAUUCGAGUUACUGUUGCUGCUGUUGCUAGGGUUCCCAUGCUUCUAGUUUCUAGUUAAUACUAUUGUCGCUGUGGCAUGUUCAAGUUUUGGAGAGGCGAUUGCUCUUCUCCGUUAUAUCUUUGCUCUCCUCGCGCGUGGUGUUCUAAUUUGUAAAACGCAGACAGCUCAAUGCAAACUAGGGAAAGUGGCAUUUCUGUUUUCCCAGUAGGUAAAUAUUGGCAUCAACCAGAACAAACCGUUUAGCUUCCCAAUCUACAAAGAUGCAAUGUGCAAGACCUUUGCUUUGCGUUUUCAGGGCUAGCGACGGAAUAUAUUCACAAAAAGGAGUCAAGAUUUAGGUUAUGGCAAACUCAUUACUUUUAAUGCCAAACAGUGUGUACAAGUGCUGGAAUGGUACCCAAAUUACAAUGGGAUUUCAUCGGUACAAAUUCAAUUUUCAAGUUACUACCAGAGAUUCAAGAACUCAUUCAAAGUCCAUGUCAUCGAAUAAAGUUGAGUCGUUGAGACUUGAAGAGCUGGUACUGGCUCCGGCAAUUGGAACUUCUUCACCUUCUCCAGCUUCUUCAUCUUCGCCAUCUGAAGAGGAGCUGUCGCUGUCAUCACUGGGAUUUAUCAAGCUUUUCCACUUCGUCCUCACCUUCUUCGCCAUCAUUAGAGUCAUCUGGUACCUCUUCUUGAUCAUCGCCUGCAACAUCUGAAUUCUUUAACUUCUCAAGUUGGGCGUGCAGUUUGCGGAUGUAAGACUUGGCUGAGACAAUUUCCUCUGGCUCUAAGAUGGAGAAAUAUCGUGGGUCCAGGAGAAUUGCAGCCUCAAAGCCAGGAUACUCGAAGAGGGCCGGUACCUUCUCUUUGCCAGCAUUGACAUGGCUUCUGGCAUACACUAGCCUUCGCUCUCUCUUGGUCAUAUUUGCAGCUAUUGCAUUUGAAAUGUGAGUUGUUCUGCCUGCAGCUGCUUGGUGGCCACCAUGGCAGGCUCCAAUGAGCGCACAAGGACCUCAACAUCAUCCCACUCCUGGGGAGUUAGGACUUGAUCUUCUUCAUCAACGUCCUUUGUGAGGUACUCCCUCAGUCUCUGCAGAGACGUAAGCAUGUUGAAGGACGUAUUCCACCGAGUUGCGUUGUCCAGCAAAGGCAAUGGAAGCCAGCUGCAAUGUGUGAGCACAGCAUUUGACACUACUGAGGCGAAAACCAUCUUCACUAAGUUCCAUCUCCACAUCUUCUUGGUCUUCGUCACACAGCUGCUGUUCCUCUUCCUGGUCACCUUUGAGGAGGUCUGCUG